UAGCCCCACCCCUUCCGUUUGCUAUUUGCUUCCGCUUCCGGUCCUAGCGUCCUCCGGCUCUGCCGUAAAGAACUUUGCAUUGUGGGAAUUCCUUCCUUUCUAGCUCUCCGGCCAUCUUGACGGCUGCUCUAGGUUGGGGGCCGCCCCGCAUCUAAGGCAGGAAGAUGGUGGCCGCAAAAAAGACGAAAAAGUCCCUGGAGUCGAUCAACUCUCGGCUUCAGCUUGUUAUGAAAAGUGGAAAAUAUGUACUGG